AUUGAACGCUAGCGGCAGGCCUAACACAUGCAAGUCGAACGAGAGGCGGACGGGUGAGUAAUGUAUCGGGACCUGCCCGUAAGCGGGGGAUAACUAAUGGAAACGGUGGCUACUACCGCCUACUAUUAGCUCCACCGAUAUGUGAUUAGCUAGUAGGGGGGUGAAAGGCUCACAAAGGCAACGAGCUCUAGCUGGUCUGAGAGGAUGAUCAGCCAAACUGGGACUGAGAAACGGCCCAGACUCCGACGGGAGGCAGAAGUGGGGAAGAGUGGACAAGGGGCGAAAGUCGGAUUCAGCCAUGCCGCGUGUAUGAAGAAGGUCUUAGGGUUGUAAAGUACUUUCAGCAGAGAAGCGUUAUCCGCAGAAUAAGCACCGGCUAACUCCGUGCCAGCAGCCGCGGUAAUUC
rnacentral:rRNA from 1 species